CGAUUGAGCAAUAUAUGGUGUAUUGUGGAGACGAGAAUAUGACACAAAACGACUGACAACUGUGAAUAACAAUGGCGGACGAUGUAAACAAGAUUUAGGUGUCGCUAGAAAACCAAUAGCCGUGUUUCGAGUUCCUCCGGAACACAGUUUUUAUUCUGUGUUUAGUCACGCCGCUUCAAAAAUGUUCAGCAGGGUUACUUCCGGUUUCUCGUUGUUUACCAACACUUCGCAUAUUAAAUGUAUAUGUUUGGGAUGUAUGGGGGUAUGUAUUUGUUUGUCAACAUUUGAUAAGCUACCAUUGGUCAAAUGCAACGGAAGACUUAGACAAGACGACGAUGUUGCAGUGUAACUUGCAGAUCUAUGCAGAAGGCCUGUCUAGGAACCCAGGCCCUAUUAGUACAGUAGUAGCCAUAGUGGGACAUGAAAAGAACGUAUUAGACUCGGUGAAACCUACCAAAUAGGUGCUGUGAUGGUGUACAUAUAUGACCUGCUUUGGUCUGAAUGGUUUGCUAUUAAACUAUGGACAGGACAGUGGUAUCAUCUGUGAAUGACUGACCAUGCUGAUUAUGUCAAAGCUAUGGAAUAAAUUCUACAUAAAUGAUCAUCAUACUCAUCAAAGACACAACAGAAUACGAUAUAUGCGACCAAAAAUGACCAAGACAAAAGAAAAAUGUUAUAUGGGGAUAUAGGAAGUGGAUCAUCCAUUUUCCUUGCCUUUCCCUCGAGGUCUUCAGACAGUGUCUCUAUACAUCAUUAACCAUGUUUUACUGCAUACCAGUCAAUAAUUCCAGUCAACAUAAGUACAGUCAUUGUUAUCAACCUGUGUAUAU